CGCAGGCGCAUGUGGGGAGGGACGGCCAGACAGGAACAAAAACCUUCCAGGCAGCGACUCCGCGUCCCUUCUCAACCCUCCCCGCCCCCACUCCGUCGCCCCCUCCCUCAGUGGACGCCAGGUCUGGGCUUCAGGUACCUUCGGCCCGAAUGCCCAGGAUGAGACACCUUCUGAGUCGCCACCAUUGGCGACCAGGAACAGGUUCCACCCCUACGGAAAGCUGAGAAAAGGCUUUUCUCAAGCAGCAAACCCACCUCUUUUGAGUCUUCUCCGCCAUGGUACGGCCCCAAUUGGAACGUAGAUCGACACCACCGCCUGGGUAGAGCGAUAAUUCCACAUGCGAUUGGAGAGCCUGGCAGGGUUGGGGGAGGGGCGGAGCCGGGGUGGGGCGGGGACCCGGAAGCUUGCGACUCUUGUUUGCGUCGCGUCUGGGCGCACAGGACUGUACUUUUGGUAGCGGUGCGGGGCCGCCCGCGGACUUUAGCCCUGCAUAGAGAUGGGUAGACCCUAAUUUGGAACAGCCAUUGACUGGGCACAGGCCAGCACUUUGGGAGGCCGAGAGGCCGAGGCAGGAGGAUCGCUUGAGGCCAGGAGUGCCAGACUGCGAGACUAGCCUGGGUAACAUAGUGAGACCCUCUCUUCAAAAAAAAAAAAAAAAAAAAAAAAAAAAAGCCUGUCACGGUGGCCUGCGCCUGUACCCCAGCUACUCGAGAGGAUCGCCUGAGCCCAGUGAAGCUGCAGCGAGCUGUGAGGAUGCCACCGCACUCCGGCCUGGGCUAAAAAGCUAGAUCGUGUCUCUGAUAAAAGAAUAAAAGCUGUUUAUUGCAAUCCA
rnacentral:lncRNA from 1 species